rnacentral:rRNA from 1 species
GUGUCAGCAGCCGCGGUAAUACGGAGGGGGCAAGCGUUGUCCGGACUUACUGGGCGUAAAGGGUGCGUAGGCGGUCUUGUGCGUCGGUGCUGAAAGCGCCCGGCUUAACCGGGCGAGGCGUGCCGAUACGAUAAGACUUGAGGGGCAGCGAGGGUGGCGGAACUCCUGGUGUAGUGGUGAAAUGCGUAGAGAUCAGGAAGAACACCCGUGGCGCAAGCGGCCACCUGGCUGCCAACUGACGCUGAGGCACGAGAGCGUGGGGAGCGAACCGGAUUAGAAACCCCCGUAGUCC